rnacentral:rRNA from 1 species
CAAUAGCGUAUAUUUAAGUUGUUGCAGUUAAAAAGCUCGUAGUUGGAUUUCGGGUGGGACGCAGCGGUCUCGCAUUGCGUUUGUACUGCUGCAGCCCUCCUUCUUGCCGGGGGCGGCCUCUCGGACUUCACUGUCUGGGGGUCAGAAUCGGCGAUGUUACUUUGAGUAAAUUAGAGUGUUCAAAGCAAGCUUACGCUCUGAAUAUAAUAGCAUGUGAUAACACGACAGGACUCUGGCCUAUCGUGUUGGUCUAUAGGACCAGAGUAAUGAUUAAGAGGGACAGUCGGGGGCAUUCGUAUUCCGUUGUCAGAGGUGAAAUUCUUGGAUUUACGGAAGACGAACAUCUGCGAAAGCAUUUGCCAAGGAUGUUUUCAUUGA